GGGUGAAAAGGCCUCUAUUGUUACAUUUUGAUGGUCUUUUUGUUCCAGAUUCGGGCCUCCUGCAGCUUUAAGAGCCGAGCAGGAAGCCGAGCGACGCUGCAUCACGAGCGUCUGAUGAAAGAGGCGACAAAGUGAACGGAGGCCAGGAGCACGACAUGAAUAUUUAUGCUGAACUGUGACAGUCGUCUCAUGUCUCUGGCUGUUCAACACGUGACUAUCUUUUCUCUUCGGUCACUCCCUUCAUCCCUCACCGGAGUCUGGACUUUCUUUGAAACUCGGCAGGAUUAGCUCUUAGCUGUCUGUCUGCUGCUCUGGGUGUGUCUGAUCUCGGGGCUUUUCCAUUCACGCCGAACACUCACUCACACAGUCCUCGGUGGGUUCCCCCUCUGAAACACUUUAUUUAAAAUGUGCCGAUGAAUAAACUGACCUGACUUUAACGCUCCCAGAAGAGGAGACUGUUUUCGUGCUUCAGGAAUUUUUAAUUAUGAGUUUAUGGUUCUGCGUUUUGGAGAUAUCAAACUUGUGACAAACCACCUGGUGAAGCUUAUUAAAAAGUGUUUUUUGAUUUAAACGUGACCAAAAGAAUGUAAGAGAAUGUGAUAAUUUAUCCCCUGUGGUUUGGACAUCCCCAAAUAUUUCCUGUUCCAAAGCCAACUUUGUGAGCAACGACUGGAUGAAUGUUAAAGACUUUGGUGUCUUUGGUUUUGUCCUGUACAUUGUAAUGCUAAUAUGCUAACGGGCUAACCAGUGGAGCAAAGUUUUCUAACACAUUACAGUUCAUAAAUAUAGUAAUUUUGUUACAGUCGCUAAUCAGGUACAACUUUAAAUUUUAGGCAGUAAAGUCAUCUGUUAGUGCCACCUACAAACGCAGCGGGAAGCGCCUAAAUAUCAUUUUGUUUGCACGGGAUAUCUGGAGAUUUUAGCACACCUCCUCCAACACCUCCUCCAAUGCUUCCUGCAAUGCUAAUCAAAUACAAUGUUAAAUAUAAGGCAGUAAAGUCCAUUAAACAGCGCUGUGUUUGCACUCUUUCCAUGGAAACAUAACCCAAACACAGUUUAAAAUGAGCUUAAAAAUCAGUGUAUUCAUGCAAAAUCAAUGUCAAUACUUUAAUAGAUUUAAUAGAUGGUUUCUUUCUAAAUGGCUCCAGUCCAGUGCAGUCCUUGGUCAAACUGUUACAGAAAAUUAUACACCAUCACAUUUUUCAUUUGUUUUGAAAUGUCUUGAAUUUGUUCGUUAUUUGCAGAAUCUGGUUGCAACAAGAGGUUUAUUAAAUCUGACAAGUAGAACAAUGUCAUUUUGAUCAAAUAUCAUGAUUUCAGAGAUGUAAUAUGGAAUGAUGCAUUUCAGGACCACUGGAAAGUCUGACGAUUCUUUCUGUUUUUACAGUUUUUGGCUGAUAAAUGGUGUACAUUUUUGGUGAUUUUUAUAAGACUUUUUUUUAAGACUUUCAAACUUGCUUGAUUCAAGGAAUUGUUGAACUAAAAAGUUCUGAUAUGGAGAGAGUUGUAUUUUCUCUGUGAACCGAAGCGAUGAGCCGACUGAAGAUCAUCUUUAAACUGACCACCGUCUUCCUCCUUACAGCCUCCGACCUCUUCAGUUCAUUUGAUCUUAAUCUCUUCACUGCUCUGCUAAAUAUUAUUUCUAAAUAUUAUUUUGUUUUUCCAUAAAUACUCUGCAGAGCUCUGCCUGCAGUUCAGCUGAAAACUGUGAAUUUUUGUUGAGUGACCGUAGCUCACAGGUGAGUCUGUUAUGACUUUCAAUUUGCACUAAGAAACACAGAAUUUUUUCAUUUUGACUGAAUCUUGUUAUAGCAAAGGGUGCAUUUUUGGCUGUAUUUUCUAAAUGAGACGUAAAAUGAAGUGAUUUUGGUUUGGUUAAUUUUACAGAUAGAGUAACACCUGAUACAUUCAAAAACCACAGGAGAAUUGGAGGAUUUUUUUUUCUGUUUUUACAGUUUCAGGCUGAUAUAUCUGAAAUGACUUUUCAGUUGGACCGAGGAGAGCAGAAUUUUUUGUUUUUUACAAAAUCUGGUUAUAAUAAGAGGUCUAUUUUUGGUGAUUUUUUAAUAAUGAGACAUGAAGUUAUUUUGAUGGUUCAUUUUACAGAUGGACUCCUGUCACACAUGAUGCAUUCAGGGCCCGCUGGGAAAACUGAUGAUUCUUUGUGUUUUUACAGCUUCUGUCUGAUAAAUCUUCAUCACCAGACCGACCGUCAUCUUCCUCCUCUUCAGUCUCGUUUGAUCUUCGUCACUUUGUUGUUUGUCUUUGCUCUCAUAAAUUUUGUUCUGCUUUCAGAGUAAUAACGGCCUGAUGUUCCUCAGAAGGUUACUGAGCCUCAUGUUGGACCUCCUAUGAACUGACCAGGAGGUCCUCCUCCCUCUGAUGGAGGUUCACUGCUUCACAAACUCCUGCAGAGCUUCAGUAGCUUCACUGUCUGGACUCUUUCUGACUUUCUUUGUCGUCUCCUCUGCAGCCCCUCCAACACCUCCUCCAGCACUUCUUCUAGACCUCCAAUGCCUCCUCCAGACCUCCAACACCUCCUUUGGACCUCCAAUGUCUCCUCUGACAUCUCCUCCUGGCCUCCAAAAACUCCAACACCUCCUCCAGGGCUCCUCUGAAUCUCCAAGACCUCCUCCAGGCCUCCUCAAGUCCUCCAACGCCUCCUCCAACGUGUCCUCAAGACCUCCAACACCUCCUUCGGGCCUUCAAUACCUACUCCAAUGCCUUCUUUGCCGCCAACAUCUCUUUCUGGCCUUCAACACCUUCUCAAGGCCUCAAACAUCUCCUCCAGGCCUCCAAUGCCUCCUCCAGACCUCCUUCAGGUCUCCAGACCUCCAGCGCCUCCUCUAGGCCUCCUCUAGACCUCCUUCAGGUCUCCAGACCUCCAGCCCCUCCUCCAGACCUCCAACACCUCCUCCAGACCUCCUUCAGGUCUCCAGACCUCCAGCGCCUCCUCCAACCUCCUCCAGCCUCCUCCAGCCUCCCCUGUGGUCCUUUCCGGAUGUUUCUCUGCCUUACAUCUCUGGAUUUUAGUGAACACGGUAAAUUACAUCAGAUGUGAGCCGCUGCUUUAUAGCCGAGGGUCAAUAUUGACUUUGUCCGGUGGGAGAGCGACGGUGGAAGCCGGAGAGCGUCGCUCUGCUGGGUUUGGCUUUUUAGUGCCCCUCUCCUUAUUGAAACUGGCCGCCUCUCAAAGUCAACAUCGUUAGAGAUUUCCUCCCUUCGCUGGAGGCUUUCUGCUGCCAUUAGUUUGUGUACAGAAGAGAAAAACGCUGCGCAGAGCAUCCAUUAGAGGAACCGUCCAGCUUCAGCCUGCAGAGUCAGAGAAACUACCGAUACACGCUGGAAAAUAUGACAGCUCUUAUUAGCAACUCACUGUUCCUGUUAAGUUUCUCUUUGUUUUGUUAAAUUACAGAUAAAAUCUAGAAAAAUCAGUCUGCAUCAAAAAUGUUUUUUUAUUAACGCUAAUUUGUUCUUUUACAACAUUUGACUCCAAAAUUAUACAAUUUUGCUCCAAUUAAAUGAAAAAAUAAAAUAAAAAACAUGUAUAUUAUAGAAAAAUACAUUUUAAUGUCUUAUUUUACAGAUUGUAUCAGUUGUGGUUAAUUUACAGAUAAAACUAGUGGAAAAAAACGAUGAAAAAAGGAAAAAAGACGGGAUAGAGCUGUCAGUAAAAAUCUAAAAUCUGCUUCAAGAUUGGAGGAGGAAGCAUUGGAGGCCCAGAGGACCAGAGAAGACCUGGAGGAGGCAUUGGAGGCCCAGAGAAGACCUGGAGGAGGCAUUGGAGGCCCAGAGAAGACCUGGAGGAGGCAUUGGAGGCCCAGAGGACCAGAGAAGACCUCGAGGAGGCAUUGGAGGCCCAGAGAAGACCUGGAGGAGGCAUUGGAGGCCCAGAGGACCAGAGAAGAGCUGGAGGAGGAUUUGGAGGAGGUGUUGGAGGUCCAGAGGAGGCACUAGAGGGCCACAGGAGAUGUUGGAGGCCUGGAGGAGACAUUGGAUGAGGCAUUGGAGGAGGUGUUGGAGGCCUAGAGGCAGUGUUGGAGGCCCGAAGGAGAUGUUGGAGGACUGAAGGAGGUGUUACGGACCCAGAGGAGAUGUUAGAGACCUGGAGGAGACAUUGGAGGAGAUGUUGGAGGUCUGGAGGAAGCUUCAUUUGUUUUCAGCUAUAUUUGUAAAAUUCCACUAUUUUAGUGUAAUUAAAUCAAAAAAUCAUUAUUUUACAAAUCAUUGCUCUUAUUUUUUUUAAAUGUAUUUGUAUCUACAUUAAAUGUAAAUUAAGAUUAAAAAGUAUAAAUAAUUUCUAAAACUGCUUUUUUAGAGAUUAUUUAAUAAGAUUAGAAUUACAUAAACUAAAAUGACAUAAAUAACGUAACUAUAAAUGGUCACUGUAAAAUGUAUAUAUGCAUUUUUUUUACUAGAUUUAAAUCUGCUAGAAAACAUGAUUAUUUUACAGUUUUUAACGUUUUUUAAUCAGAUUUUGACAGGAAUGUUUUAUUUUUCAUAUUUCACUUUGGAUUAAUGACGUGUAACUCACUCUUCCAACUGUUGUCGUCUUAUCUGCAGCGUGACUUAGAUUCUCUUUAUAAAAUGUUCAGAAACAUAAACCAGAAGGUGGACUCUAACACACGGACUCUUCUGUAAAACCGACGGAGAGUCUCUGAGGACACAAACAAACUCACAACGUUGUCGUCUGCAGACGUUAACAAGUCGUAACCUGCAGACUUCAUCCGGCGACACAAAGGAAGCAGCAGAGCGUGGACAGUUUGGAGGAGCAGGAAGUGAAAGCUUCUUUAUCUCCUCAACACGUUCUGUCCUUCAGGUUCCUUCAGCUUCGACAGCAUCAAACCCCAGAAGAUCCAGAAGAAACCGAGCAGACAAAAUAAAGGAAAAAGACAACCGGAUGAUUAAAUAAAACAACAAGGCACA